CAUAAAUAACAAUUCGAACAAACAACAAAAACGAAUUUUCAGAUCGUGAAUUUUUAAUUCACCCCCUUGAAUGAUAAAACCCUUUUUAAUAAUUAAAAAGAAAAAGAAAAGAAAUACAGUACUUGCAUCUCCUUGGAUCAUCAUCCUCUUUCUUUCACCUGGUUUCUCAGAUCCUGAGAAGAACCAUUGGAACGCUCGUAUCAGUAAGACAUUUGUUAUUGGAGAAGGAAUAAGGCAAAGAUGGUGAAAAUGACGUUGAUAGCUCGUGUUACCGACGGGCUGCCUCUAGCUGAGGGUCUCGAUGAUGGACGUGACUUGCCUGAUUCAGAUAUGUAUAAGCAACAGGUCAAGGCUCUGUUUAAGAAUCUCUCCAGAGGUCAUAACGAAGCUUCAAGAAUGUCCGUUGAGACUGGCCCCUAUAUUUUCCAUUACAAUGUGUGACCGCUCUUACCCAAAGAAACUGGCGUUCCAAUACCUGGAAGAUCUCAAGAACGAGUUCGAACGUGUCAAUGGGCCUAACAUUGAAACAGCUGCUAGACCUUAUGCCUUUAUUAAAUU